AGCGAACGCUGGCGGCGUGCUUAACACAUGCAAGUCGAACGCGCAGCAUUCUGUAGCAAUACAGGGUGUGGGCGCGUGGCGAACGGGUGCGUAACACGUGGAUAACCUUCCUUCAGGUGGGGAAUAACCCCGCGAAAGCGGGGCUAAUACCGCAUAACAAAACGAUGAGACAUCUUGUUGUUUUCAAAGCCGCAAGGCGCCAGAAGAGGGAUCCGCGGCCGAUUAGCUUGUUGGCGGGGUAAUGGCCCACCAAGGCAUUGAUCGGUAGCC
rnacentral:rRNA from 1 species